CAGGAGGAAGACUAUUCCAACUUAGAUAAUCAAAGAAGGCUCCACUCAAAAACUUCCUGACAAGCCACACAAAGUUCCUGCCAUUCAACAUGCUGGGGCCAUAGUGGCUGCUGUGGACCCUAGGAACAACCAAGAGGCGAUCACCAGAGGCUAUAACCAAAAAGAAUACACAAUAAUGAUCAGACCUUGAGAUAUCAACAAUGGAGGGUACAUCAACAGUUCAGCGUGUCUGGUCCUGCCUGACUAAUCCUACCAUAUUGAAAGCACCUGAGGCGUGAAGAGCAGUCAUGUCCAUCAACUCUUAUCAGGAUGUCUGAUGUAAGGCUGCCUUGCACAAUCACUGCCUGACAGAUGAGUACAGCUGAGGUCAAGGGUUGCCACUUAGCCAGGGGGAAGAAAAGCACAUGUGACACUGGAUCCUGGCAGGGCUAAUGGUCAUUUCUCGGUAAGCAGUGUGUCAUAGUCUCAGUGGCCUAGAUAAUAGGGCUGCGGAGUGCCUGGGUUAAACCCACAGGAUCAGGGAGUGGUUGUGACUGUUGUCUUUGUUGAUCUGCAAUCAGUCUCACUGUGACAUAUAUAGCCAUGAACCUACAAAGAUAAAGUCUACCAUUUGCUGCUUGCAGAAGAGAAAGGAAGUAAAGUGUCGGCCCUCCUGAAAUUAGAACAAGUUACAAGUAAGUUGAGUUACAGUUAAAGCAUGAUAACCAGAUAAGACAUUUUGUGAAAUAUGUGUUUACCUGGAAACACCAUACAGAGGAAACUGUGAGGUUGAAAAUGGGGCGUUACUAAUGUUGUUGACAUUAGAAAGUUAUUGUACAUCACGGUCUAUAAAUUGCAAUUCAAUAUAUUUAAAUGCCAUCUUUAAUUCCAUUCUGUUUUGGAGGCAAACCAAUCUAAAAGUACAUGAAAGUGGUCAGAUUGUUUAGUAAAUUUGAGCAUCCAACUUUCUCUGUUACUAACUUCAGUUCUAAGCAUACACUCAGUAAUCUGCAUUGUUUUGUAUUCAGAAGGUAAACUUCCCAAACAGUGAAUUAUACACACCACAGGCUGAUAAUAGUCAGGAAGGGAUUAGAGAUGGGAUGAGAAGGCCCCUUGUUAACACAAAUUAUGAAACACAUCACCAUAAUUAAGUUAAGAAUUUCAAUAUUUGGGAAAAACAAGAGUCUAACUCCCCACAAUCCCCCCCUUCAUGUGGCCACAGACAAAUCAACCACCGAGUAGAGAUAAAAGUGAGUACAGACAGAGAUGAUAAAGGUACACUUUCGCUGUACGUAAGCAAGGGGGGUUUAGAGGUCUGUCAUCUAACAGUGAGGUCAAAGGUUUGAUCACUGAGCCAGACAAAUAUGUCAUUAAAGUGUGUUGUAGCAAGACAUGCAGUAUCUUCAUAGUGAUCGUGUUUGUGUAAUGUGACUAGAAAUUUCACAUUAUUGUGGUUUGUUUGUCACAUCAUAAGAUGAGUCAUCACAGAAAUUAUUAUUACCACACACACAACUGUUUGUCUG